CGGCGUGUGAGAUCCUUAUUUCAAGCAGCUAAAAAAAAGGCUCCAUGCAUCAUUUUUAUUGAUGAAAUUGAUGCUGUUGGGUCUACACGAAAACAAUGGGAAGGCCAUACAAAGAAAACUUUGCACCAACUAUUAGUUGAAAUGGAUGGUUUUGAACAAAAUGAGGGAAUAAUAUUGAUGGCUGCAACAAACUUGCCUGAUAUUCUUGAUCCAGCUUUGACCAGGCCUGGUAGAUUUGACAGGCAUAUUGUUGUUCCAAAUCCAGAUGUAC
rnacentral:misc_RNA from 1 species